GUAAUUCACCUUGAUUUUGCACCUGUGUGUUUUAUCAGUUUCUUUACGAAAAUAUUUAGCACACCAUGACAGUAGCUAAAGUAAGGGGCUAUAGCAGCACACAAGUAGACUACAAAUGCAUGCUGUGCCAGGAAUGCCCAGAGCUCGUGAAGUGAGUGCUAUUGGAGCAAAAUUGGAGCGGGCGAGAAGGCCGAUGCUCUAGCCUUUGGGAAUCUCGCUCCAUGCUCCAGUCAAAUUGGGCACGCUCCAGCUCCGCCCACAUACUCUGACACACACACACACACACACACACGUUCACACUUACAAUAAUUUGUGAAAUCUCAAUCUCUGUGUGUGUGUGUGUGUGUGUGUGUGUGUAGGAUGGUGGUGGAGUGUGUGAGGAGACACAGCUCGGUGACAGGAGAUGGCUCCCAGACCUUCGUCCUGCUGCUCGCCUCAUUGCAACGGGAGAUACAGAAACACACCCGAAAAGCCCCCUGGGAAGGUGCCAAGUGUUUGGCUGAAGCUCUGCUGGCCUUCGCAUUGGACGAGCUCAGUGAUGUUAUCACUGUUGGAGUGGCUCCACCUGGCUCCUCCCUUUCAGACACACACACCCCAGGACAGACAGAUACACCUACUCAGUGCUUUCCUUCACACCCGGAUCAGCCCUACUCAUGCGGAAAUCUAAGCUAAUAUAGGGAUAGAAAGUGUGUGUGUGUGAUCAGGGCGGGUGUUAGACAGUGUGUGUGUCACCCUACAGCAUCUAGGAGUGUCUCUGCUCCUCUCAUCAGUCAGACAGUCGGAGGCCUUCCUGGCUGCAGUGGGGAGGUACGGUGUGUGUGUGUUAGAGUGUGUGUGAAGACGACCUUACCUUGUUCUCUGUGCUCAGUGGAGCCCAGCCUGUCUCAGACUGGGCCGUGAUUGGACAGGAACAUGUUGCUACGGUGACCUUCUGCCGGCCGCUGGUGCUGGGAGCUCACAGGUUCGUCAAUGUGGGGUUUCCUAAGGCAGAGGACAGGGGCAGACCCCACAGUCUGCUUGUGUGUGGACAGACAGAGGGCCAGGCGGAACAGAGUGUAUGUGCUGUACGAGAUGCUCUACACAUGCUGCAUACUACUACCUGGGGGCCCAAACACAGGACUGGAGCUACAGAAAGAACCGCUUACACACACACAGACACACACACAAACACACACACAGACGUGAUGGAGCCUUGUUGUGUAAUUUCCGUGGGCAGGACUUUUGACUUCCUGUUACACCACACCCUCCAUCAAACACAGACACGCACACUCCGUCAAACACAGACACGCACACUCCGUCAAACACAGACAUGCACACUCCGUCAAACACAGACACGCACACUCCGUCAAACACAGACACGCACACUCCGUCAAACACAGACACGCACACUCCGUCAAACACAGACACGCACACUCCGUCAAACACAGACACGCACACUCCGUCACACUUGGACACCCCUGCCGCCUCGGGGAUGUUAGCAGAGGCCCUACUGAGUGUGCCCAGACAGAUCUACUCCCACAAUCCUCGGCGCUACCUUGAGGCUCUCGCACACACUCUCAGCUGCAUACGUAACCAUGGUAACUCUCCGGACCCGCUGGAGACAGUGCUGUUCUGGUAGUGGAUGGUUCUAAUAUGGUCCAGGCUGACACUAGGUCAAGGUCUGGGUCAGGGGUAAAGGAGAUGACAGUUUGGUCAAGCUCUGGCUCUAGUUCAGGUGUGGAGUCAGUGUCCUGUAUGUAUCAUCUGAUCCUGGCUGUUCUACAGUGUCUCAGGAGUCUAGUGUCUGUGGACACUGUACUACACGCUAAUACCUCACACACCUGUCAGAGAGAAGAGGAGGAGGGUGACGACUGAGAACUCAUACUUGAUUUUAUUUCAUUGUUCAUCCAAAAGUUUUGUAUUCAAUUCUUGAAAAAGUAUCUCCUUGUGUAGUAUGUCUUUGCAUAUGAAUUUCUAUGUUAAUAAAUCCGAUUUGAUUAAA